CGGCAAUGGAGGAAACUCUGACCGAGCAACGCCGCGUGAACGAUGAAAUAUUUAGGUAUGUAAAGUUCUUUUAUUAAAGAAGAAAAAAUGAUGGAAAAAUCAUUCUGACGGUAUUUAAUGAAUAAGCCCCGGCUAACUAUGUGCCAGCAGCUGCGGUAAUACAUGGGGGGCAAGCGUUAUCCGGAUUUAUUGGGCGUAAAGGGUGUGUAGGCGGUUUAAUAAGUCUAUGGUAUAAGUUCAACGCUUAACGUUGUGAUGCUAUGGAAACUGUUUGACUAGAGUUGGAUAGAGGCAAGUGGAAUUCCAUGUGUAGCGGUAAAAUGCGUAAAUAUAUGGAGGAACACCAGUAGCGAAGGCGGCUUGCUGGGUCUUAACUGACGCUGAGGCACGAAAGCGUGGGGAGCAAACAGGAUUAGAUACCCUGGUAGUCCACGCCGUAAACGAUGAGUACUAAGUGUUGGGUUAAACCAGUGCUGAAGUUAACACAUUAAGUACUCCGCCUGAGUAGUACGUACGCAAGUAUGAAACUUAAAGGAAUUGACGGGACUCCGCACAAGCGGUGGAUCAUGUUGUUUAAUUCGAAGAUACACGAAAAACCUUACCAGGUCUUGACAUACUCUGCAAAGCUAUAGAAAUAUAGUGGAGGUUAUCAGGGAUACAGGUGGUGCAUGGUUGUCGUCAGCUCGUGUCGUGAGAUGUUGGGUUAAGUCCCGCAACGAGCGCAACCCUUAUCGCUAGUUACCAUCAUUCAGUUGGGCACUUUAGUGAGACUGCCAAUGAUAAAUUGGAGGAAGGUGGGGAUUACGUCAAAUCAUCAUGCCCCUUAUGACCUGGGCUACAAACGUGAUACAAUGGCUGUUACAAAGAGUAGCUGAA
rnacentral:rRNA from 2 species